rnacentral:rRNA from 2 species
CAAAUCGUACCCCAAACCGACACAGGUGGUCAGGUAGAGAAUACCAAGGCGCUUGAGAGAACUCGGGUGAAGGAACUAGGCAAAAUGGUGCCGUAACUUCGGGAGAAGGCACGCUGACACGUAGGUGAAGUGAUUUACUCAUGGAGCUGAAGUCAGUCGAAGAUACCAGCUGGCUGCAACUGUUUAUUAAAAACACAGCACUGUGCAAACACGAAAGUGGACGUAUACGGUGUGACGCCUGCCCGGUGCCGGAAGGUUAAUUGAUGGGGUCAGCGCAAGCGAAGCUCCUGAUCGAAGCCCCGGUAAACGGCGGCCGUAACUAUAACGGUCCUAAGGUAGCGAAAUUCCUUGUCGGGUAAGUUCCGACCUGCACGAAUGGCGUAAUGAUGGCCAGGCUGUCUCCACCCGAGACUCAGUGAAAUUGAACUCGCUGUGAAGAUGCAGUGUACCCGCGGCAAGACGGAAAGACCCCGUGAACCUUUACUAUAGCUUGACACUGAACAUUGAGCCUUGAUGUGUAGGAUAGGUGGGAGGCUUUGAAGUGUGGACGCCAGUCUGCAUGGAGCCGACCUUGAAAUACCACCCUUUAAUGUUUGAUGUUCUAACGUGGACCCGUGAUCCGGGUUGCGGACAGUGUCUGGUGGGUAGUUUGACUGGGGCGGUCUCCUCCUAAAGAGUAACGGAGGAGCACGAAGGUUGGCUAAUCCUGGUCGGACAUCAGGAGGUUAGUGCAAUGGCAUAAGCCAGCUUGACUGCGAGCGUGACGGCGCGAGCAGGUGCGAAAGCAGGUCAUAGUGAUCCGGUGGUUCUGAAUGGAAGGGCCAUCGCUCAACGGAUAAAAGGUACUCCGGGGAUAACAGGCUGAUACCGCCCAAGAGUUCAUAUCGACGGCGGUGUUUGGCACCUCGAUGUCGGCUCAUCACAUCCUGGGGCUGAAGUAGGUCCCAAGGGUAUGGCUGUUCGCCAUUUAAAGUGGUACGCGAGCUGGGUUUAGAACGUCGUGAGACAGUUCGGUCCCUAUCUGCCGUGGGCGCUGGAGAACUGAGGGGGGCUGCUCCUAGUACGAGAGGACCGGAGUGGACGCAUCACUGGUGUUCGGGUUGUCAUGCCAAUGGCACUGCCCGGUAGCUAAAUGCGGAAGAGAUAAGUGCUGAAAGCAUCUAAGCACGAAACUUGCCCCGAGAUGAGUUCUCCCUGAGACUUUAGGUCUCCUGAAGGAACGUUGAAGACGACGACGUUGAUAGGCCGGGUGUGUAAGCGCAGCGAUGCGUUGAGCUAACCGGUACUAAUGAACCGUGAGGCUUAACCUUACA